AUUGAACGCUGGCGGAAUGCUUUACACAUGCAAGUCGAGCGGCAGCGCGGGGGCAACCCUGGCGGCGAGCGGCGAACGGGUGAGUAACAUAUCGGAACGUACCCUGUCGUGGGGGAUAACUAUCCGAAAGGAUAGCUAAUACCGCAUACGACCUGAGGGUGAAAGCGGGGGAUCGCAAGACCUCGCGCGAUAGGAGCGGCCGAUAUCGGAUUAGCUAGUUGGUGGGGUAAAGGCUCACCAAGGCGACGAUCCGUAGCUGGUCUGAGAGGACGACCAGCCACACUGGAACUGAGACACGGUCCAGACUCCUACGGGAGGCAGCAGUGGGGAAUUUUGGACAAUGGGGGCAACCCUGAUCCAGCCAUUCCGCGUGAGUGAAGAAGGCCUCGGUUGUAAGACUCUUCGGUCAGGAACGAAACGGUAGGCGU
rnacentral:rRNA from 1 species